rnacentral:misc_RNA from 1 species
GAUGAAGAACGUAGCGAAAUGCGAUAAGUAAUGUGAAUUGCAGAGUUUUGUGAAUCAUCGAAUCUUUGAACGCACAUUGCGCCCCUCGGUAUUCCGACGGGCAUGCCUGUCCGAGCGUCGUUUGCAACCCAUCGAGUAACACUUCUCGGUCUUGGGCGCCGUCCGCCCCCUCGGGGGAUCGGACGGGCCCCAAAGCCCUCGGCGGCCCCGCGUGCCCCGCCGGAGCGUCUUCGAAAGCAAUCGCUCCGGCGCGUCGCGCCCCGGGACCAAGCCGGCACCGCGGCCCCCCCAAAGGGGUCGCACCCCCAACGCCAAACGUCUGACCUCGGAUCAGGUAGGGCUACCCGCUGAACUUAAGCAUAUCAAUAAGCGGAGGA